GCCUGGGUGGCUCAGUCAGUUAAGCAUCUGACUUCGGCUCAGGUCAUGAUCACAUGGUCUGUGGGUUCAAGCCCCGCGUCGGGCU
rnacentral:tRNA from 1 species